GUCUGGUUACCUUGGAGAUGGGGGUUUGGUAGAGCAGGAGACUCUUAAUCUCAGGGUUGUGGGUUGGGGUCCCAUAUUGGACA